CAGAAGUGAAUUAUUUGAUAUCUUUAUAUAUUUGUUUUUUCACACACAGAAACAAAGGGGGCUUUUGCUCACAGAUCUGCCAUUGGAACCAACUUCUAAUCGAAUGGAAAUUUUGCAAAUGUUGGAAUCUGGAAUUGCCCCAUCUUUCUGCUCCUCUCAAAGAUGAAAGAAUAUUUGUUUUUUUUAAUGAAAUACAUUGAAACAGUAUAAAAAUAAUUUAAA